GUACACCAUAAGUACAAAAUACUAAAGUUAUAAAAGAGAAAAAGAAGAUUGCUGCUAACAUGAAUCUGAGCAAUACAGCGCAUUUUGUGCCACAUACAAAAAGGUACUGUCCGUAGAUUUAUGACUUAGCUUUCUCCUAAAAACUGGGAGUGGA
rnacentral:lncRNA from 1 species